GAUGAACGCUGGCGGCGUGCCUAACACACGCAAGUCGAGCGAUUCUCUUCGGAGAAGAGCGGCGGGCGGGUGAGUAACGCGUGGGUAACCUGCCCUGUACACACGGAUAACAUACCGAAAGGUAUGCUAAUACGAGAUAAUAUGCUUUUAUCGCAUGGUAGAAGUAUCAAAGCUUUUGCGGUACAGGAUGGACCCGCGUCUGAUUAGCUAGUUGGUAAGGUAACGGCUUACCAAGGCGACGAUCAGUAGCCGACCUGAGAGGGUGAUCGGCCACAUUGGAACUGAGGCACGGUCCAAACUCCUACGGGAGGCAGCAGUGGGGAAUAUUGCACAAUGGGCGAAAGCCUGAUGCAGCAACGCCGCGUGAGCGAUGAAGGCCUUCGGGUCGUAAAGCUCUGUCCUCAAGGAAGAUAAUGACGGUACUUGAGGAGGAAGCCCCGGCUAACUACGUGCCAGCAGCCGCGGUAA
rnacentral:rRNA from 1 species